AUUGAACGCUGGCGGCAUGCCUUACACAUGCAAGUCGAACGGGGACAGGUCUUCGGAUGCUGACGAGUGGCGAACGGGUGAGUAAUACAUCGGAACGUGCCUAGUAGUGGGGGAUAACUACUCGAAAGAGUGGCCGAUACCGCAUGAGAUCUACGGAUGAAAGCAGGGGAUCGCAAGACCUUGUGCUACUAGAGCGGCCGAUGGCAGAUUAGGUAGUUGGUGGGAUAAAAGCUCACCAAGCCGACGAUCUGUAGCUGGUCUGAGAGGACGAUCAGCCACACUGGGACUGAGACACGGCCCAGACUCCUACGGGAGGCAGCAGUGGGGAAUUUUGGACAAUGGGCGAAAGCCUGAUCCAGCAAUGCCGCGUGCAGGAUGAAGGCCUUCGGGUUGUAAACUGCUUUUGUACGGAACGAAAAGCCCCGGGUUAAUACCCUGGGGUCAUGACGGUACCGUAAGAAUAAGCACCGGCUAACUACGUGCCAGCCGCCGCGGUAA
rnacentral:rRNA from 1 species